rnacentral:lncRNA from 1 species
AUUAGCUCCGCGCUGCAGACAUCAUUAGGAGUGGAGGGAGACGAUUCCACCGUCAGCGCAGGAACAGGAAGCCCUGGCAACAAGGAGAGACCGCUCUUACCAGACCAUUACACCGUACAGUAAGUCCUAGCUCUGUCUAUACUCUUAGUCUGUGUCAUUUUUUUUGUGUCACUUUUUUCUUUGCUAAGCGGUAGAGGUAGAGAAAAUGGCUGGAACUGGAAGGAAGGCGUACGCGCAAAGAGAGCGUUCGUUUAUUUCCAAAGCCUUUGAAAAUGUUUACUUCGCACUCUGACCUAUUUUAUUUGUGCCCGGAGCAUAGACGGUUGUUUGUGGUUUACAGUCAUGCACUUGUCAUUUCGAACAAAAAUGCAAACGAACUAUUAAGUUUGACACAAGAGCGCGGUGGUUUCGCGGACUUGAAAACGAGCAAGGAGUGUUUCACAGGCGGGUUGGUGUGUAGGACAGGCAAGCUAACUGCGCCACCCCAACCAGAAACAUUGCAUAAAGAAUAGUAAAAUACAUAUUUAUAGUAUAGCCUUCAACCGUCCACUUUUAAAAUGGUUGUGGUACGUGAGUAGCCUACGUGGCCGUAUGUCCACUCAUGCGACACAUUUUAGUUUCUAAUUCCAUCGCGGAAGUGUUUUAUAUUCUUCAAAAACAGGGCAAACCAACUAACCCUAGUCCACCUAAUGUAACCGGCGUCAUUAUACAAACACAUAGUACACGACAUGCCCUUUCAUUUGGGGGGGAGAAAAUGUUAUCUACUCGGUUAGGCUACAAUCGCUUUUCAUUGACGCUGGCUGGUUUGUAAAGGACAUUGGGUCUCCUGAAUGUGUCUAGUGAUUGCUCGACUACCCGUGGCGUGAUGUCACUCAUCCCAGCUUUGGUGGUUAUAUAACAGGACUGUAGGGAUCCCGGGUUGUGAUAGCGAGGUAUUUAUACUCUGUUUACAGUCAGGAAUUGCACAAUGCAUAGUAAGAUUGGCAUAGUAAAACCUGUCUUCCCAAGAGGAUAGGCUACAGACUGCUACAUGCCACCACCACUACACUGUUAUUACAUGCUUACAUUUGAUCCAGUAUCUACAAACGAAGGUGGUUGGUCAAAGAGUGUUUCAAUGUUGCCGAAAUAAAAAAACAUUAUGCUGUAAAAUGUUACAGUAACUUUGCAAUGAAGGACACUUGAUACUGCGAAAUUAUUUUUCAACAACAUGCAAGCCUGCAGUAAAACAAGAAUACACGUUGUCGUACUUUAGCGUACACCAGCUUGCUUAUGAGCAUAAUAAUGCAUAUUAAAAAAAACAUGUCUGGAGGCCGUUUUGCAAUGCAGUAACAUGACAAGAGGUGAAGUAUUUGUUGCACCUCUGUAUCCAAUAAAAAAAUGAAGAUUGGUUGGAUCACAAUUAUAAUCACAAUCUUGAUGAUCUUAUUUGUUGUGAAAUUGACUGAUAUUACUUGUUAGAUAUUACUUGACAGAUAUUACUUGUUAGAUAUUACUUGUUAGAUAUUACUUGACAGAUAUUACUUGUUAGAUAUUACUUGUUAGAUAUUACUUGACAGAUAUUACUUGAUAGAUAUUACUUGAUAGAUAUUACUUGACAGAUAUUACUUGUUAGAUAUUACUUGAUAGAUAUUACUUGAUAGAUACUGCUGCACUGUCGGAACUAGAAGCACAAGCAUUUCGCUACACUCGCAAUAACAUCUGCUAACCAUGUGUAUGUGACCAAUUUGAUUUGAUUUGAUUUUGAUGAUAAUAUAUCAUGUUUCAUCUCAAUACCUGAUAGGCCUAUGUGUUGUUUAUGUAUGCUAAUAUUUUUCAUUAUGUUGUUGCACAUACAGAGGCUUACCAUUGUUCAGUGUAUACAGUUCUCUGUACUCUGUACUGUGGAUGGCUGCUGCUAUGGAGUUGACAUUUAGACUAGGUUGUCAUUUCACCACAGAGCUUCUGUAUAUAACCUGUGUAUAUAACCUUGCCCAUUUAAACCUGUACUCUGCAGGCCACGGAACCACAUUGUUUAUUUAUGUACCUUGUCUUCUUGGUAGUGUAGUAUGAGGUGGGUAGGUUUGUGGCGGCUGAUUGACCAGUGAUAGUGUAGUAUGAGGUGGGUAGGUUUGUGGCGGCUGAUUGACCAGUGAUAGUGUAGUAUGAGGUGGGUAAGUUUGUGGCGGCUGAUUGACCAGUGAUAGUGUAGUAUGAGGUGGGUAAGUUUGUGGCGGCUGAUUGACCAGUGAUAGUGUAGUAUGAGGUGGGUAAGUUUGUGGCGGCUGACCAGUGAUAGUGUAGUUUGAGGUGGGUAGGUUUGUAGCGGCUGAUCAGUGAUAGUGUAGUUUGAGGUGGGUAGGUUUGUGGUGGCUGAUCAGUGAUAGUGUAGUAUGAGGUGGGUAGGUUUGUGGCAGCUGGCUGACCAAUGAUAGUGUAGUUUGAGGUGGGUAGGUUUGUGGCGGCUGAUCAGUGAUAGUGUAGUUUGAGGUGGGUAGGUUUGUGGCUGCUGUUUGACCAGUGAUAGUGUAGUUUGAGGUGGGUAGGUUUGGGGCGGCAGGCUGACCAGUGAUAGUGUAGUUUGAGUUGGGUGGGUUUGUGGUGGCUGGCUGGCUGACCAGUGAUAGUGUAGUUUGAGGAGGGUAGGUUUGUGGCGGCUGGCUGACCAGUGAUAGUGUAGUUUGAGGUGGGUAGGUUUGUGGCGGCUGACUGACCAGUGAUAGUGUAGUUUGAGUUGGGUAGGUUUGUGGCGGCUGACCAGUGACAGUGUAGUUUGAGGUGGGUAGGUUUGUGGCGGCUGAUUGACCAGUGAUAGUGUAGUUUGAAGUGGUUAGGUUUGUGGCUGCUGACUGACCAGUGAUAGUGUAGUAUGAGGUGGGUAGGUUUGCGACAGCUGACCAGUGAUAGUUUAGUAUGAGGUGGGUAGGUUUGUGGUGGCUGGCCAAUGAUAGUGUAGUUUGAGGUGGGUAGGUUUGUGGCGGCUGACUGACCAGUGAUAGUGUAGUUUGAGGUGGGUAGGUUUGUGGCGGCUGACCAGUGAUAGUGUAGUAUGAGGUGGGUAGGUUUGUUGCGGCUGACCAAUGAUAGUGUAGUUUGAGGUGGGUAGGUUUGUGGCGGCUGAUUGACCAGUGAUAGUGUAGUUUGAGGUGGGUAGGUUUGUGGCGGCUGACUGACCAGUGAUAGUGUAGUAUGAGGUGGGUAGGUUUGUGGCGGCUGAUUGACCAGUGAUAGUGUAGUAUGAGGUGGGUAGGUGUGUGGCGGCUGGCUGACCAGUGAUAGUGUAGUUUGAGGUGGGUAGGUUUGUGGCUGCUGACCAGUGAUAGUGUAGUUUGAGGUGGGUAGGUUUGUGGCGGCUGAUUGACCAGUGAUAGUGUAGUUUGAAGUGGGUAGGUUUGUGGCGGCUGGCUGACCAGUGAUAGUGUAGUUUGAGGUGGGUAGGUUUGUGGCGGCUGGCUGACCAGUGAUAGUGUAGUAUGAGGUAGGUAGGUUUGUGGCGGCUGAUUGACCAGUGAUAGUGUAGUUUGAAGUGGUUAGGUUUGUGGCGGCUGGCUGACCAGUGAUAGUGUAGUAUGAGAUGGGUAGGUUUGUGGCGGCUGACCAAUGAUAGUGUAGUAUGAGGUGGGUAGGUUUGUGGCGGCUGAUUGACCAGUGAUAGUGUAGUAUGAGGUGGGUAGGUGUGUGGCGGCUUGCUGACCAGUGAUAGUGUAGUUUGAGGUGGGUAGGUUUGUGGCGGCUGACUGACCAGUGAAGUGUAGUUUGAGGUGGGUAGGUGUGGGGCAGCUGGCUGACCAGUGAUAGUGUAGUAUGAGGUGGGUAGGUUUGUGGCGGCUGACCAAUGAUAGUGUAGUAUGAGGUGGGUAGGUUUGUGGCGGCUGAUUGACCAGUGAUAGUGUAGUAUGAGGUGGGUAGGUGUGUGGCGGCUUGCUGACCAGUGAUAGUGUAGUUUGAGGUGGAUAGGUUUGUUGCUGCUGACCAGUGAUAGUGUAGUUUGAGGUGGGUAGGUUUGUGGCGGCUGAUUGACCAGUGAUAGUGUAGUUUGAAGUGGGUAGGUUUGUGGCAGCUGACUGACCAGUGAUAGUGUAGUAUGAGGUGGGUAGGUUUGUGGCGGCUGACCAGAAAUAGUGUAGUAUGAGGUGGGUAGGUUUGUUGCGGCUGACCAAUGAUAGUGUAGUUUGAGGUGGGUAGGUUUGUGGCGGCUGACCAGUGAUAGUGUAGUAUGAGGUGGGUAGGUUUGUGGCGGCUGGCUGACCAGUGAUAGUGUAGUUUGAAGUGGGUAGGUUUGUGGCAGCUGACUGACCAGUGAUAGUGUAGUAUGAGGUGGGUAGGUUUGUGGCGGCUGACCAGAAAUAGUGUAGUAUGAGGUGGGUAGGUUUGUGGCGGCUGAUUGACCAGUGAUAGUGUAGAAUGAGGUGGGUAGGUGUGUGGCAGCUGUGCAACCAGUGAUAGUGUAGUUUGAGGUGGGUAGGUGUGUGGCGGCUUGGCAACCAGUGAUAGUGUAGUAUGAGAUGGGUAGGUUUGUGGCGGCUUACCAAUGAUAGUGUAGUAUGAGGUGGGUAGGUUUGUGGCGGCUUAUCAGUGAUAGUGUUAUAUGAGGUGGGUAGGUUUGUGGCGGCUGACUGACCAGUGAAGUGUAGUUUGAGGUGGGUAGGUGUGUGGCAGCUGGCUGACCAGUGAUAGUGUAGUAUGAGGUGGGUAGGUUUGUGGCGACUGACCAAUGAUAGUGUAGUAUGAGGUGGGUAGGUUUGUGGCGGCUGGCUGACCAGUGAUAGUGUAGUUUGAGGUGGGUAGGUUUGUGGCGGCUGGCUGACCAGUGAUAGUGUAGUUUGAGGUGGGUAGGUUUGUGGCGGCUGGCUGACCAGUGAUUGUGUAGUUUGGGGUGGGUAGGUUUGUGGCGGCUGGCUGAACAGUGAUAGUAUAGUUUGAGGUUGGUUGUUUUGUAGCGGCUGGCUGACCAGUUAUAGUGUAGUUUGAAGUGGGUGGGUUUGUGGCGGCUGACCAAUGAUAGUGUAGUAUGAGGUGGGUAGGUUUGUGGCAGCUGGCUGACGAGUGAUAGUGUAGUUUGAGGUGGGUAGGUUUGUGGCGGCUAACCAGUGAUAGUGUAGUAUGAGGUGGGUAGGUUUGUGGCGGCUGACCAAUGAUAGUGUAGUAUGAGGUGGGUAGGUUUGUGGCAGCUGGCUGACCAGUGAUAGUGUAGUUUGAGGUGGGUAGGUUUGUGGUGGCUGACCAGUGAUAGUGUAGUUUGAGGUGGGUAGAUUUGUGGCGGCUGACCAGUGAUAGUGUAGUUUGAGGUGGGUAAGUUUCUGGCGGCUGACUGACCAGUGAUAGUGUAGUAUGAGGUGGGUAGGUUUGUGGCGGCUGGCUGACCAUUGAUAGUGUAGUUUGAGGUGGGUAGGUUUGUGGCGGCUGACCAGUGAUAGUGUAGUUUGAGGUGGGUAGGUUUGUGGCGGCUGAUUGACCAGUGAUAGUGUAGUUUGAGGUGGGUGUGUUUGUGGAGGCUGACUGACCAGUGAUAGUGUAGUAUGAGGUGGGUAGGUUUGUGGCGGCUGACCAAUGAUAGUGUAGUAUGAGGUGGGUAGGUUUGUGGCAGCUGGCUGACCAGUGAUAGUGUAGUUUGAGGUGGGUAGGUUUGUGGCGGCUGACCAAUGAUAGUGUAGUUUGAGGUGGGUAGGUUUGUGGCGGCUGAUUGACCAGUGAUCGUGUAGUAUGAGGUGGGUAGGUUUGUGGCGGCUGACUGACCACAAAUAGUGUACUUUGUGGUGGGUAUGUUUGUGGCGGCUGACCAGUGAUAGUGUAGUUAGAGGUGGGUAGGUUUGUGCCCGCUGACCAGUGGUAGUGUAGUUUGAGGUGGGUAGGUUUGUGCCCGCUGACCAGUGAUAGUGUAGUUUGAGGUGGGUAUGUUUGUGGCUGCUGACUAACCAGUGAUAGUGUAGUUUGAGGUGGGUAGGUUUGUGGCGGCUGUCUUACCAGUGGUAGUGUAGUUUGAGGUGGGUAGGUUUCUGGCGGCUGACUGACCAGUGGUAGUGUAGUUUGAGGUGGGUAGGUUUGUGGCGGCUAGCUGACCAGUGAUUGUGUAGUUUGGGGUGGGUAGGUUUGUGGCGGCUGGCUGAACAGUGAUAGUAUAGUUUGAGGUUGGUUGUUUUGUAGCGGCUGGCUGACCAGUUAUAGUGUAGUUUGAAGUGGGUAGGUUUGUGGCGGCUGACCAGUGUUAGUGUAGUUUGAGGUGGGUAGGUUUGUGGCGGCUGAUUGACCAGUGAUAGUGUAGUUUGAGGUGGGUAGGUUUGUGGCGGCUGACUGAUCAGUGAUAGUGUAGUAUGAGGUGGGUAGGUUUGUGGCGGCUGACCAAUGAUAGUGUAGUAUGAGGUGGGUAGGUUUGUGGCAGCUGGCUGACGAGUGAUAGUGUAGUUUGAGGUGGGUAGGUUUGUGGCGGCUAACCAGUGAUAGUGUAGUAUGAGGUGGGUAGGUUUGUGGCGGCUGACCAAUGAUAGUGUAGUAUGAGGUGGGUAGGUUUGUGGCAGCUGGCUGACCAGUGAAGUGUAGUUUGAGGUGGGUAGGUUUGUGGCAGCUGGCUGACCAGUGAUAGUGUAGUUUGAGGUGGUAGGUUUGUGGUGGCUGACCAGUGAUAGUGUAGUUUGAGGUGGGUAGAUUUAUGGCGGCUGACCAGUGAUAGUGUAUUAUGAGGUGGGUAGGUUUGUGGCGGCUGAUUGACCAGUGAUAGUGUAGUAUGAGGUGGGUAGGUUUGUGGCAGCUGGCUGACCAGUGAUAGUGUAGUUUGAGGUGAGUAGGUUUGUGGCGGCUGACCAAUGAUAGUGUAGUUUGAGGUGGAUAGGUUUGUGGCGGCUGAUUGACCAGUGAUAGUGUAGUAUGAGGUGGGUAGGUUUGUGGCGGCUGACUGAACACAAAUAGUGUACUUUUUGGUGGGUAUGUUUGUGGCGGCUGACCAGUGAUAGUGUAGUUUGAGGUGGGUAGGUUUGUGCCCGCUGACCAGUGGUAGUGUAGUUUGAGGUGGGUAGGUUUGUGCCCGCUGACCAGUGAUAGUGUAGUUUGAGGUGGGUAUGUUUGUGGCGGCUGACUAACCAGUGAUAGUGUAGUUUGAGGUGGGUAGGUUUGUGGCGGCUGUCUUACCAGUGGUAGUGUAGUUUGAGGUGGGUAGGUUUGUGGCGGCUGACUGACCAGUGGUAGUGUAGUUUGAGGUGGGUAGGUUUGUGGCGGCUAGCUGACCAGUGAUUGUGUAUUUUGGGGUGGGUAGGUUUGUGGCGGCUGGCUGAACAGUGAUAGUAUAGUUUGAGGUUGGUUGUUUUGUAGCGGCUGGCUGACCAGUUAUAGUGUAGUUUAAGGUGGGUAGGUUUGUGGCGGCUGAUUGACCAGUGAUAGUGUAGUUUGAGGUGGGUAGGUUUGUGGCGGCUGACUGAUCAGUGAUAGUGUAGUAUGAGGUGGGUAGGUUUGUGGCGGCUGACCAAUGAUAGUGUAGUAUGAGGUGGGUAGGUUUGUGGCAGCUGGCUGACGAGUGAUAGUGUAGUUUGAGGUGGGUAGGUUUGUGGCGGCUGACCAAUGAUAGUGUAGUAUGAGGUGGGUAGGUUUGUGGCAGCUGGCUGACCAGUGAAGUGUAGUUUGAGGUGGGUAGGUUUGUGGCAGCUGGCUGACCAGUGAUAGUGUAGUUUGAGGUGGGAAGGUUUGUGGCGGCUGACUGACCAGUGAUAGUGUAGUUUGAGGUGGGUAGGAUUGUGGUGGCUGACCAGUGAUAGUGUAGUUUGAGGUGGGUAGAUUUGUGGCGGCUGACCAGUGGUAGUGUAUUAUGAGGUGGGUAGGUUUGUGGCGGCUGAUUGACCAGUGAUAGUGUAGUAUGAGGUGGGUAGGUUUGUGGCGGCUGACCAAUGAUAGUGUAGUAUGAGGUGGGUAGGUUUGUGGCAGCUGGCUGACGAGUGAUAGUGUAGUUUGAGGUGGGUAGGUUUGUGGCGGCUGACCAAUGAUAGUGUAGUAUGAGGUGGGUAGGUUUGUGGCAGCUGGCUGACCAGUGAAGUGUAGUUUGAGGUGGGUAGGUUUGUGGCAGCUGGCUGACCAGUGAUAGUGUAGUUUGAGGUGGGAAGGUUUGUGGCGGCUGACUGACCAGUGAUAGUGUAGUUUGAGGUGGGUAGGAUUGUGGUGGCUGACCAGUGAUAGUGUAGUUUGAGGUGGGUAGAUUUAUGGCGGCUGACCAGUGAUAGUGUAUUAUGAGGUGGGUAGGUUUGUGGCGGCUGAUUGACCAGUGAUAGUGUAGUAUGAGGUGGGUAGAUUUGUGGCGGCUGACCAAUGAUAGUGUAGUUUGAGGUGGGUAGGUUUGUGGCGGCUGACCAGUGAUAGUGUAGUUUGAGGUGGGUAGGUUUGUGGCGGCUGAUUGACCAGUGAUAGUGUAGUUUGAGGUGGGUGUGUUUGUGGAGGCUGACUGACCAGUGAUAGUGUAGUAUGAAGUGGGUAGGUUUGUGGCGGCUGACCAAUGAUAGUGUAGUAUGAGGUGGGUAGCUUUGUGGCAGCUGGCUGACCAGUGAUAGUGUAGUUUGAGGUGGGUAGGUUUGUGGCGGCUGACCAAUGAUAGUGUAGUUUGAGGUGGGUAGGUUUGUGGCGGCUGAUUGACCAGUGAUAGUGUAGUAUGAGGUGGGUAGGUUUGUGGCGGCUGACUGACCACAAAUAGUGUACUUUGUGGUGGGUAUGUUUGUGGCGGCUGACCAGUGAUAGUGUAGUAUGAGGUGGGUAGGUUUGUGCCCGCUGACCAGUGGUAGUGUAGUUUGAGGUGGGUAGGUUUGUGCCCGCUGACCAGUGAUAGUGUAGUUUGAGGUGGGUAUGUUUGUGGCGGCUGACUAACCAGUGGUAGUGUAGUUUGAGGUGGGUAGUUUUCUGGCGGCUGACUGACCAGUGGUAGUGUAGUUUGAGGUGGGUAGGUUUGUGGCCGCUGGCUGACCAGUUAGUGUGGAGUGCUUCAGGGCACCACAGGUUUAAACUGCAUGGUCUCUACCAGUUCAGUUCACCUGAUGGUGGUGAAUCCCUCUAUAGCACAUAUUACCACUCUUCUAUUUUAGAUAUAAAAUUGAACCUUUAUUUAACUAGGCAAGUCAGUUAAGAACAAACUCUUAUUUACAAUGACGGCCUAACCCGGCCGAUGCUGGGACAAAUUGUGCGCCGCCGUAUGGGACUCCCAAUCACGACCUGUUGUGAUACAGCCUGGAAUCGAGCCAUGGUCUGUAGUGACACCUCUAGCACUGAGAGACAGUGCCUUAGACUGCUGCUCCACUCAGGAGAUAUGUGAAUGAUGCAGGCUAGGGGUACGUUCAUUCGUCCAAAUGUUUGAGAUGUUUUCAAAACCUAUUUUCAAUCUGAAUGGUAGAAGACAAAUAGUGCCAUGAUUAUUUCCUGACCAUGUCACCUGACCAGGGACAAACUCCUAGCCCCUAGCUAGUUAUUACCCAUUAACUACAAUUUGUGGCCAGAGUUUUUCCUGGUCAGAUGACAUGGUCAGCAGGAAAAACUCAGCAUCAUUAUUUCAGCAACCAUAACGUCUUCUCUAAAAACCUUUCAAAAUGUUUCUUCCAACGGGGAGCUAAUGAACGCGACCCUAUCCGUUGUGCAGGGAUCUAAUCAUGUGACGGGGAAUUAGGGGGCUGCCAUUUCUCCCUGCACUUCCCUUUGAUCCUGUCCGCCACACACACACACACACACACACACACACACACACACACACACACACACACACACACACACACACACGUAUGCACAGCAUCUCCAACUCACACAUUUAUGCUACCGUGCAUGUGUGCAAAAUGAAGAAAAACGUGAUACACCUUGCCUUUAAAGUGAGGGCUGGGUUUUGAAGUGCCCGGUCUUGCCCUGACUUCCGGAGAUAUUUCCAGGUAUUGUCUGGGUAGGCUAGUCUUUCAUGGUUGACUGAGAGAGUGAUAUAAGAUGAGCCACACCCCUAUACCUGCAGAAAGAAACAGGCUGUGUGUGUGUGUGUGUGUGUGUGUGUGUGUGUGUGUGUGUGUGUGUGUGUGUGUGUGUGUGUGUGUGUGUGUGUGUGUGUGUGCGUGUGUGUCUGUGAGUGUGUGUGUGUGUGUGUGUGUGUGUGUGUGUGUGAAUGUGAUUCUACUCUGAGCAAAACAAGGGGACGAACCCAGUCAAUGACCAAUGAUUGGCAGUCUCUUCAAAAUAUGUGUGUGUACAUGUGUGUUUACAUAGAAGAUGGGCAGUACCCACACACACUGCUUGGCUUCCACUUUCACUUGCAGCUAGAGCAGGGUCCAAGGGUAGAUAGACAGUAGGGCUAGUUAGACCUCACGACAUGAUAUUAUCAGCAUACUUAGGUGCCGAUUCUAUAUGUACUGCGAUUCUCACUAUUCUCCUGAUUCUAUAUGUACU